CUUCCAAAGUUUGCAAAUUUUGUAUACUUUUGUAUUGCAAUUUUCGCAUGCAAUACAAAAGUAUACAAAAUUUGCAAACUUUGCAUAAGAGACU